rnacentral:rRNA from 1 species
UUCGGUCUUUAGAGCGAAGUGGAACCACCUCUUCCCAUUCCGAACAGAGAAGUGAAACACUUCAGCGUUUACGAUACUCCGCUUUUAAACGGGGGACAAUAGAUCAAGGCCGGAG